AUAAAUAUGGCGAAACAGGUAAACGCGCUAAAUUUAGGAUUUAGUUUUUAAGAGUUCGAUUCUCUUUAUUUAUA